rnacentral:rRNA from 1 species
GAGUUUGAUCCUGGCUCAGAUUGAACGCUGGCGGCAUGCCUUACACAUGCAAGUCGAACGGCAGCAUGAUCUAGCUUGCUAGAUUGAUGGCGAGUGGCGAACGGGUGAGUAAUACAUCGGAACGUGCCCUGUAGUGGGGGAUAACUAGUCGAAAGAUUAGCUAAUACCGCAUACGACCUGAGGGUGAAAGUGGGGGACCGCAAGGCCUCAUGCUAUAGGAGCGGCCGAUGUCUGAUUAGCUAGUUGGUGGGGUAAAGGCCCACCAAGGCGACGAUCAGUAGCUGGUCUGAGAGGACGAUCAGCCACACUGGGACUGAGACACGGCCCAGACUCCUACGGGAGGCAGCAGUGGGGAAUUUUGGACAAUGGGCGAAAGCCUGAUCCAGCAAUGCCGCGUGUGUGAAGAAGGCCUCGGUUGGUAAGUACGACUUUGUUCCGGUAA